rnacentral:lncRNA from 1 species
AGAAUUAUUGAAUAGAAUAAAAAUUUGUUCUAGAGUUGCAUAGAAGAUUGAAUUGUGAUUUAGUUUAAGAAGGCAAAUGAAAGAAUCUAAGAAAAAGAAGGCAAGGAUUAUGGCCAAAAGGAAUUGUUAGUCAUGAGAAUAUGAAUAGAUUCAGAUGAGUAGAGAAGGUUGUUGAUUAGGAGGAAGAGGGGGUGCCAAUUUUAGAAGAAUUCGAGUUGACUAAAAGAGAAGUAAAGGCAAUGCUACUGUGGAUUGAUAUUGAUGGAUCUAAGUUGUGCAACCAUUUGAGAGGAAGCGUUGAGGUAAACACAUUCCUAUCAAAGAAAAUGAGAACAAUGGUGUUGUGGGGAUGUGGAAAUGAUCUAGUAGUGACAAGGAUAAGUGAUGGCUUAGGAGUUGAUGACCAAGGUAGAUUAGUUGUGAUUUUUUAUAUUAUUAUAAGGUGAUAAUUGAUUUCUAGUAGUGAUUC